rnacentral:rRNA from 1 species
AGCGAACGCUGGCGGCAGGCUUAACACAUGCAAGUCGAACGGGCGUAGCAAUACGUCAGUGGCAGACGGGUGAGUAACGCGUGGGAACGUACCUUUUGGUCGGAACAACCCAGGGAAACUUGGGCUAAUACCGGAUAAGCCCUUACGGGGAAAGAUUUAUCGCCGAAAGAUCGGCCCGCGUCUGAUUAGCUAGUUGGUGAGGUAACGGCUCACCAAGGCGACGAUCAGUAGCUGGUCUGAGAGGAUGAUCAGCCACAUUGGGACUGAGACACGGCCCAAACUCCUACGGGAGGCAGCAGUGGGGAAUAUUGGACAAUGGGCGAAAGCCUGAUCCAGCAAUGCCGCGUGAGUGAUGAAGGCCUUAGGGUUGUAAAGCUCUUUUACCCGGGAUGAUAAUGACAGUACCGGGAGAAUAAG